rnacentral:rRNA from 1 species
UGGGGAAUUUUGGACAAUGGGCGAAAGCCUGAUCCAGCAAUGCCGCGUGCAGGAUGAAGGCCUUCGGGUUGUAAACUGCUUUUGUACGGAACGAAACGGUUCGCCUUAAUACGGUGGGCUAAUGACGGUACGGCCAAAGGAAGCCACGGCUAACUCCGUGCCAGCAGCCGCGGUAAUACGGAGGUGGCAAGCGUUACUCGGAAUUAUUGGGUGUAAAGGGUAUGUAGGUGGGUUUGUAAGUCGAAUGUGAAAUACCUUCGCUUAACGAAGGAAUUGCAUUCGAAACUGCUUACCUUGAGUAUCAGAGAGGAAAGGGGAAUUCCCGGUGUAAGGGUGAAAUCUGUAGAUAUCGGGAGGAACACCAGUGGCGAAGGCGCCUUUCUGGCUGAAUACUGACACUGAAAUACGAAAGCUACGGUAGCAAACAGG